UACGUAGGAGGCGAGCGUUGUCCGGAGUUACUGGGCGUAAAGCGCGCGUAGGCGGUCUUUCGCGUAGGCGGUGAAAGCCCCCGGCUCACCCGGGGGAGGUCCGUCUAAACGGGGAGACUCGAGGGCGGUAGGGGCCGGUGGAACGCCCGGAGUAGCGGUGAAAUGCGUUGAGAUCGGGCAGAACACCAGUGGCGAAGGCGGCCGGCUGGGCCGUACCUGACGCUGAGGCGCGAAAGCCAGGGGAGCGAACGGA
rnacentral:rRNA from 1 species